UACAGAGGGUGCGAGCGUUAAUCGGAAUUACUGGGCGUAAAGCGUGCGUAGACGGUUAUUUAAGUCGGGUGUGAAAGCCCCGGGCUCAACCUGGGAAUUGCAUUCGAGACUGAAUAGCUAGGGUACGGUAGAGGGAAGCGGAAUUUCCGGUGUAGCGGUGAAAUGCGUAGAUAUCUGGAGGAACACCGGUGGCGAAGGCGGCAUUCUGGACCGAUAUUGACGCUGAGGAGCGAAAGCCAGGGGAGCAAACGGG
rnacentral:rRNA from 1 species